rnacentral:misc_RNA from 1 species
GAUGAAGAACGCAGUGAAAUGCGAUAAGUAAUGUGAAUUGCAGAAUUCAGUGAAUCAUCGAAUCUUUGAACGCACAUUGCGCCCCUUGGUACUCCGAGGGGCAUGCCUGUUCGAGCGUCAUUUCAACCCUCAAGCACAGCUUGGUCUUGGGCUUCGCCGCUAACCCGGCGGGUCUUAAAAUCAGUGGCGGUGCCGUCGGGCCCUGAGCGCAGUAAUCUCUCUCGCUAUAGGGUCCCGGCGGAUGCUGGCCAGUAACCCCCAAUUUUCUAUGGUUGACCUCGGAUCAGGUAGGGAUACCCGCUGAACUUAAGCAUAUCAAUAAGCGGAGGA